ACGCUCGACACCUACGGGAGCAGCAGUGGGGAAUAUUGCACAAUGGGGGAAACCCUGAUGCAGCGACGCCGUGUGGAGGAAGAAGGUCUUCGGAUUGUAAACUCCUGUUGUUGGGGAAAAAGAGGAUGGUACCCAACAAGGAAGUGACGGCUAACUACGUGCCAACAGCCGCGGUAAUCUGAGCGGGCUGGCAAGGC
rnacentral:rRNA from 1 species